UACGGGGGGGGCAAGCGUUGUUCGGAAUUACUGGGCGUAAAGGGCUCGUAGGUGGCCCACUAAGUCAGACGUGAAAUCCCUCGGCUUAACCGGGGAACUGCGUCUGAUACUGGAUGGCUUGAGUUUGGGAGAGGGAUGUGGAAUUCCAGGUGUAGCGGUGAAAUGCGUAGAUAUCGGGAGGAACACCAGUAGCGAAGGCGGCUCGCUGGGCCAUUCCUGACGCUGAGACGCGAAAGCUAGGGGAGCGAACAGG
rnacentral:rRNA from 1 species